GAUUUCAAUUGAAAAAGUCAUCAACAACAAAGUUGAAUAACUCAUCAAGAUCUAAAACUUUUAUUUUUGUUAUUUCUUCAUCCGACGAAAUGUUAGUAAUAUUAUUCACAAAUUUUACAUAUAUGUGUUAUAGUUUAUAAAACCAGAUAAUAGAUAUGUCAAUUUUGUGAACAAUGUUACUAUCACUUUGUCGUAUGAAGAAAUGACCAAAAUAAAAGUUUUAGAUCUUGAUGAGUUAUUCAACUUUGUUGUUGAUGACUUUUUCAGUUGAUAUC
rnacentral:pre_miRNA from 1 species